AUACACUUCUGACCCGUAAGUGAACAAUUAUUUGAGAGUAGAAAUGAGAAAUUGAUACUAUAUUAUAGAGCUCUUAAAUCAUCUUCAUAUUAUGUAUAUGUACAAAUCUCUAUCACUAUAUUAGUAGUGGCAUCUACUCUUAAAUCAUCGUUCUGAUAUAGUGAUCUUCUAUUUCAAAUCAUUUUUUGUAAUAUUCUGUCUUUUAUCUCUCAAUCAUUGAUUUUACUAGAUAUUCAUGCCAUCGAUAGAUAUCAUCAUCAGAUAUCACUUCAUCUUGAUAUUGUACAUGUACAUACAUUGGCAGGCGGGCGGGCAGAUAGACAGCUCAGCAAAUCGGUAAGAGAAAGCAAUCUGUAUAUCUCACUAAUAUUAAGAGCAGCCUUGCCCCCUAGCUAGACUUUGUCACAAGUAACAUUCAGAACAGGCCAAUUUUCUCAGAAAGCGACCUGACGG
rnacentral:sRNA from 1 species